GUCUACGGCCAUGCCGCCCUGAACGCGCCCGAUCUCGCCUGGUCUCGGAAGCUGAGCAGGGCCGGGCCUGGUUAGGGCUUGGAUGGGAGACCGCCUGGGAAUGCCGGGUGCUGGAGGCU
rnacentral:rRNA from 1 species